GAUGAACGCUGGCGGCGUGCCUAAUACAUGCAAGUCGAGCGAACGGACGAGAAGCUUGCUUCUCUGAUGUUAGCGGCGGACGGGUGAGUAACACGUGGAUAACCUACCUAUAAGACUGGGAUAACUUCGGGAAACCGGAGCUAAUACCGGAUGAUAUUUUGAACCGCAUGGUUCAAAAGUGAAAGACGGUCUUGCUGUCACUAUAGAUGGAUCCGCGCUGCAUUAGCUAGUUGGUAAGGUAACGGCUUACCAAGGCAACGAUGCAUAGCCGACCUGAGAGGGUGAUCGGCCACACUGGAACUGAGACACGGUCCAGACUCCUACGGGAGGCAGCAGUAGGGAAUCUUCCGCAAUGGGCGAAAGCCUGACGGAGCAACGCCGCGUGAGUGAUGAAGGUCUUCGGAUCGUAAAACUCUGUUAUUAGGGAAGAACAUAUGUGUAAGUAACUGUGCACAUCUUGACGGUACCUAAUCAGAAAGCCACGGCUAACUACGUG
rnacentral:rRNA from 1 species